rnacentral:rRNA from 1 species
GGGAAUAUUGCGCAAUGGGGGAAACCCUGACGCAGCAACGCCGCGUGAAGGAUGACGGCCUUCGGGUUGUAAACUUCUGUCGCAGAGGAAGAAGAGAGUGACGGUACUCUGUGAGAAAGCCACGGCUAACUACGUGCCAGCAGCCGCGGUAAUACGUAGGUGGCGAGCGUUGUCCGGAUUUACUGGGUGUAAAGGGCGCGUAGGCGGAUUUGCAAGUCAGAUGUGAAAUACCGGGGCUUAACUCCGGAACUGCAUUUGAAACUGUAGACCUUGAGUGCCGGAGAGGAAAGCGGAAUUCCUAGUGUAGCGGUGAAAUGCGUAGAUAUUAGGAGGAACACCAGUGGCGAAGGCGGCUUUCUGGACGGUAACUGACGCUGAGGCGCGAAAGUGUGGGUAGCAAAC